AAGAAAUUAGUUAAAUUAAUAACAUAUGUCUGUCACGCAUAAAUUAUCUCUUAGAUAUUUCUUA
rnacentral:tRNA from 1 species